CCAAGGCUUCUGUUGGGUUUAGCAAGUUGUGAGCAAAAGCUGUUGUCACACCUCUGAAGAAAGUGAUGCCAUGGUCAUCUUUCCACAGCGAGGGUUGGACAUACUUUAACUGAGUGAUCGUACUCCAGGAUGCUCUCUUGAUUGAGCUGCGUGGGGGAGAUCUUAUCUCUACACGCCACCAGCAGCCAGGAGAUACCCAGAGAAAGCUCCAUUUUGGGUACAGAAUGAGUUUAGGGACUCUCUAUGGAGAGUCUCUGUAAGAUGGUGUCUGGGCCCUGAGCAGCCUCAUCUGGAGACUCCUACUUGCCUCAGUUUUGGACAAUGGAAAGACGGAAAGAAAGUUUACUUUUCUGUGGCUUUCUCCCUUUUUUGACCUAUGAAUCAUAGAAAGCAGAUGUAAUUUUUAUUUACAUAUGUCGUAUGUUGCCUUUGAGACUUUGGAAAGAAGAUAGAAUUUGAGAGUCACCUCAAGGGGACUCUUCAUUCCCUCGUGUCAACUUGUCACUGAGUCAGGUCAAGGGCACAGCCCAGGGAGAGGCGGCCCUGGUCAGGUCAGCACCCAGAUGGGUUGGUGCAGCUUAAGGGCCCAGGGAGCUCUGUGCAGCUUCAUCCCCAGCUGCACAGAGCAGGAUGCACUCUGGGGGCGGCACAUGAGGCACUGCGGGUCCAGCUCUGGUGCAAACAGAGAGUGAAGGGCUGCAUCUGCCUGUUAAACGCUGCAUACAGUACAGAUCUUCGUGCUGUUGGAAGGAAAUUUAAUGUACCCAUGAUCUUGAUGACUUCUAGUUUCAAAGAAAUGUACUGCAAAUGAAGAUGUUAAAGUGAAUUGUCAUAGUCUUCAGUUUGCAGAUAUCUUAAAGAACACAGAAAGGUUUCUUGUAUGAACUCAAGUAGAUGUCUUAGAGCCUGAUAAGAAAGAAGCUAGUCAAUAAAUGUAUAUUGAGCAGCCA
rnacentral:lncRNA from 1 species